CUCUAGGUAGCUCAGUAGGUAGAGCAUGAGACUCUUGAUCUCAAGGUCAUGGGUUACAGCCCCACAUUGGGCA